rnacentral:snoRNA from 1 species
UCCAAAAAUACAGUGAUGUUACCUUUUCCAAGCACAUAACUGAUUACUCUGUGUGGAAAAUGACUGUUCUGAGUGAUUUUGGA